UACGUAGGGAGCAAGCGUUGUCCGGAUUUAUUGGGCGUAAAGAGCUCGUAGGCGGCUUAGAAAGUCAGGUGUGAAAACUCUGGCUUAAGCCCAGACGACGCCACUUGAUACUUCUAUGGCUUGAGUUCGGUAGGGGACCAUGGAAUUUCCUGGUGUAGCGGUGAAAUGCGUAGAUAUCAGGAGGAACACCUGUGGUGUAGACAGCUUACUGGACCACUUCUGACGCUGAGACACGAAAGCGUGGGUAGCAAACAGG
rnacentral:rRNA from 1 species